rnacentral:piRNA from 1 species
UAGUGUCAUGUGGACCAUACUCU